GAUGAACGCUGGCGGCGUGCCUAAUACAUGCAAGUCGAGCGAACAGACGAGGAGCUUGCUCCUCUGACGUUAGCGGCGGACGGGAGAGUAACACGUGUAUAACCUACCUAUAAGUCGGGGAUAACUUCGGAAAACCGGAGCUAAUACCGGAUAAUAUAUUGAACCGCAGUGUUCAAUAGUGAAAGUCGGUUUUUCUGUCAGGUCUCGAUGGAUCCGCGCCGCAUUAGCUAGUUGGUAAGGUAACGGGUUACCAAGGGAACGAUGCGUAAUCGACAUGAGUGGGACGUCGACCAGGCCUGAGCUGAGACACGGCCACAUCGCCUCCGAGAGGCAGCAGAAGGGCAUCUGCCGCGCAGGACUGAAGCAUGACGCAGCAUCGGCGCGUGAGUGAUGAAGGUCCGCGGCUCGUAAAACUCUGUUAUUAGGGAAGAACAAAUGUGUAAGUUACGACGAACGGCGUGACGGUAUCUAAUCAGAAAGCCAAGGCUAACUACGUG
rnacentral:rRNA from 1 species